CCUUGAAAUACCACCCUUUAAUGUUUGAUGUUCUAACGUUGACCCGUGAUCCGGGUUGCGGACAGUGUCUGGUGGGUAGUUUGACUGGGGCGGUCUCCUCCUAAAGAGUAACGGAGGAGCACGAAGGUUGGCUAAUCCUGGUCGGACAUCAGGAGGUUAGUGCAAUGGCAUAAGCCAGCUUGACUGCGAGCGUGACGGCGCGAGCAGGUGCGAAAGCAGGUCAUAGUGAUCCGGUGGUUCUGAAUGGAAGGGCCAUCGCUCAACGGAUAAAAGGUACUCCGGGGAUAACAGGCUGAUACCGCCCAAGAGUUCAUAUCGACGGCGGUGUUUGGCACCUCGAUGUCGGCUCAUCACAUCCUGGGGCUGAAGUAGGUCCCAAGGGUAUGGCUGUUCGCCAUUUAAAGUGGUACGCGAGCUGGGUUUAGAACGUCGUGAGACAGUUCGGUCCCUAUCUGCCGUGGGCGCUGGAGAACUGAGGGGGGCUGCUCCUAGUACGAGAGGACCGGAGUGGACGCAUCACUGGUGUUCGGGUUGUCAUGCCAAUGGCACUGCCCGGUAGCUAAAUGCGGAAGAGAUAAGUGCUGAAAGCAUCUAAGCACGAAACUUGCCCCGAGAUGAGUUCUCCCUGACUCCUUGAGAGUCCUGAAGGAACGUUGAAGACGACGACGUUGAUAGGCCGGGUGUGUAAGCGCAGCGAUGCGUUGAGCU
rnacentral:rRNA from 1 species